GGUUUCUGUGGCUUAGUGGUAGAGCUUCUGCUCUGCGUGCCGAAGGUUCCAGGUUCAAUCCCUGAUGAACUCA
rnacentral:tRNA from 1 species